ACUAACACAAGAACAGAAAACCAAACACCACAUGUUCUCACUCAUAAGUGGGAGUUGAACAGUGAGAACACAUGGACACAGGGUGGGGAACAUCACACACUGGGGCCUGUCAGGGGUUGGGGGGCUAGGGGAAGGAUAGCAUUAGAAGAAAUACCUAAUGUAAUUGACGGGUUGAUGAGUGCAGCAAACCACCAUGGCACAUGUAUACCUACGUAAAAAACCUGCACAUUCUGCACAUGUACCCCAGAACUUAAAGUAUAAUUAAAUAAAUAAAUAAACAGAGGCUUGGGCCUGGGUCACUCUCAGGCCCAAGCCAGAGUUCUGCUUUCAGUGUGACACUGAGGACCUCCAAGGUCUGCUCUCCAGUAAAACUAGUGAGAAUUGUUUAAAAAACAAAACAAAACAAAAACAAACAUUUAAAAACUCUGGAAAUGGCCUUAAGGGCAUACCACAAAUGAAGAAAUAUUUGUUCAAGAAAAAUCUACAAAAACUCAGAAUUACAAGAAUCUGAGGUAUGUGAACCAAGACGCAUGCCCUCUCUGUCCUCCCACCCUCAAUUCAGUGAGGCAAAAACUAUACUUCAGGCUGUUUCAGCCUAGAACACAGGGCUGCCUCUCCCCUCAGCUAUCUUCCCAGGAGGGACGGGAUGUCAGCAUUUCUCAUCCUUCCCCACUACUUGUUGCUGCAGGCAAAGUUCCAGGUGAGUACAGCUGAUAUAAAUGCAACCUCCACUGGUGGAAAUAGGCUCUACCUUGGGCAAGGUACCAUUGAAAAUACUAGGGCUCUGAUUGAGUUUGCCCCAGUUUAUGGGCGGAGUUCCAUGCUGAGAGGCAAGCCAAGAAGACCUGUGACUGCUACCUCUCCCAUCUACCAAGCACUCAGAAUCUAACAUGGGGGUGUCACUCAGGAAGAAGCACAUCAUUGUUCCCACGCCCACCACCAGGGCUUUGGCUCAGAGAUUUCCUCAGAUACAGAUGUAAGUCAUAGAACAGAGAAAUUUGGGAAACUCUUAAGUAUAUGGAAAUUAAACAACACACUCUUAAACAACCAAUGGAUUUUUAAAAAAUCAUCAAAAGGGAAAAGAGAAAAUACUUUGAGGUAAAUGAAAAUGAAGAUAUAUCAAAACUUACAGGAUACAGCUAAAACAGUACAUAGAGGGAUAUUUAUAGCUGUAGAUGACUAUCUUACAAAAGAAGAAAAGACCUCAAAUCAGCAACCUUAUACCACCAUAAGACAUUGGAAAAGAAGAGCAAACUACACCUAAAGCAAGCAGAAGGAAGGUAAUAAAGAUUAGAGUGAAAAUUAAUAAAAUCAAGACUUUUUUAAAUAACAGAAAAUCAAUGAAAACAAAACUGUUUCUUUGAAAAGAUAAACAAAAUUAACAAACUACCUAAUUGACCAAGAAAAAAAGAAAGAUGACUCACAUUACUAGAACCAGAUAUAAAAGAGGGGACAUGACUACCAACAUUUAAAGGAUUAAAAGAAAUACUACAAGUCGGCUGGGCGCGGUGGCUCACGCCUGUAAUCUCAGCACUUUGGGAGGCCAAGGCGGGUAGAUCACCUGAGGUCAGGAGUUCGAGGCCAGCCUGGCCAACAUGGUAAAACCCUGUCUCUACUAAAAAUACAAAAAUCAGCCAAGCGUGGUGGCAGGUGCCUGUAAUCCCAGCUACUCGGGAGGCUGGGGCAGGAGAAUCACUUAAACCAGGGAGGUGGAGGUUGCAGUGAGCCAAGAUCAUGCCACUGCACUCCAGUCUGGGCAACAAGAGCAAAAUUCCAUCUGAAAGAAAAAGAAAAAGAAAAAGAAUUACUACAAGUAAAUACUAAUAAAUUCUAAUAAAAUGCUAAUAACUUCAACAAGUUAGAUGAAAUGGACAAAUUCCCAGAAACACACAAACUACAGAAACUGAUUCAAGAAGAAAUAGGGCCAGGUGUGAUGGUUCACGCCUGUAAUCCAGUACUUUGGGAGGCUGAAGCAGGUGGCUCAUCUGGGCUCAGGAGUUCAAGACCAGCCUGGGCAAUAUGAAACCCUGUCUCUACCAAAAAUACAAAAAAUUAGCCAGGCAUGGUGGCUCAUGCCUGUAGUCCCAGCUACUCAGGAGGCUGAGGUGGGAGGAUCACUUUAGCCUUGGAGGUGAAAGUUGCAGUGAGCCAAGAUCGUGCCACUACAGUCCAGCCUGGGUGACAGAGUGAGACCCCAUCUCCAAAGGAAAAAAAAAAAAGAAGAAGAAGAAGAAGAAGAAAUAGGCAAUCUGAAUAGGCUUAUAUCAAUAAAGAGAUUGAACGAAUAAUCAAAAACACUACCAACAAAGAAAAGCCCAGCCCCAGAUUGCCUUACUGGUAACUUCCACCAAACAUUUAAAGAAUUAAUAUAAGGCCGGGCAUGGUGGCUCACGCCUGUAAUCCCAAAACUUUCGGAGGCCGAGGCAGGCAGUCACUUGAGGAGUUCAAGGCCAGCCUUGCCAACAUGGGGAAACUCCAUCUCUACUAAAAACUGUAAAAAUAAGCCAGGUGUGCUGGUAGACACCUGUAAUCCCAGCUACUCAGGAGGCUGAGGCAGGAGAAUCACUUGAACCCAGGAGGCAGAGGUUGCAGUGAGCCGAGACCACACCACUGCACUCCAGUUUGGGCAACCAAGCAAGACUCUGUCUCAAAAAAGAAAAGAAAAGGACUAAUAACGCUACCACUCCUCACAAACUCCUCCAAAAAACUAAGAGAAAAAAAUACUUCUCAACUCCUUCUAUGAGGCCCUCAUACCAAAACUAAAGACAUCACAAGAAGACUACAGACCAAUUUCUCUUACGAUAUGGAUGCAAAAAUAUCCUAGCAAAUUGAAUCUAACAACAUAUAAAAAUAACUAGACAACAUGAUCAAGUAGGAUUUAUCCCAGGAACACAGAUUGGCUUAACAUCCAAAAUUCAAUUAAUGUAAUAUACCAUAUCAAUAGAAGAAAAACCAGCCGGGCACGGUGGCUCACGCCUGUAAUCCCAGCACUUUGGGAGGCCAAGGUGGGUGGAUCAUGAAGUCAAGAGAUCAAGACCAUCUUGGUCAACCUGGUGAAACCCCAUCUCUACUAAAAAUACAAAAAUUAGCUGGGCGUAGUGGCACGUGCCUGUAGUCCCAGCUGCUUGGGAGGCUGACGCAGGAGGAUCACUUGAACCCAGGAGGCGGAGGUUGCAGUGAGCCAAGAUCGCACCAUUGCACUCCAGCCUGGGUGACAGAGCAAUACUCCGUCUCAAAAAAAAAAGAAAAGAAAAACCAAAAAUACAUGAUCAUCACAAUAUCACAAUAGAUGCAGAAAAAGCAUUUACAAAAUCCUAUGCCUUUUCAUGAUUACAAACAAACAAACAAACAAAACACACACACGCACUCAACAAACUAGGCAUAAAAGGGAACUCAAGAUUGGGUAUACCGUGGCUCACACCUAUAAUCCCACCAGUCUGGGAGGCUGAGACAGGAGGAACACUUCAGCCCAGGACUUUGGCAACAUCGCAGGACUUUGGCAACAUCGCAAGACCUUGUCUCUACUAAAAAUAAAAACAAAAAAAUUAACCAGGCAUGGUGGUGCACUUGUGGUCCCAGCUGAGGUGGGAGGAUCACCUCAGCCCAGGAGGUCGAGGUUGCAAGCAAUGAGCUAUAAUUGUGCCACUGCACUGCAGCCUGGGCAACAGAGUGAGACCCUGUCUCAAAAACAAAAAAAAAAAAAGAAAAAGGAAAAAGGUAGUGCCAAGCAUGGUGGCUCACGCUUGUAAUCCCAACACUUUGGGAGGCCAAGGCAAUAGGAGCACUUGAGCCCAGGAGUUCAAGACCAGCCUGGGCAACAAAGUGAGACCCCAUCUCUACAAAAAAUACAACAAAGUAGCCAGGCAUGGUGGCACACACCUGUAGUCCCAGCUACUCAGGAGGCUGAGCUGGGAGGAUGGCCUGAGCUCUGGGAGGUCAAGAUUGCAGUGAGCCAUGAUGGUGCCACUGCACUCCUGCCUAGGCAACACAGUCUGUCAAAAAAAGAAAAGAAAAGAAGGAAGGAAGGAAAAGAAAAGAAAGAAACCGAGAGAUUAAAAGAGAGAGGAAGGAAGGAAGGAAGGGAGGAAAGAAGGAAGGAAGGAAGGAAAGAAAAGAAAAAAAAGAAAAGAAGAAAACAGGGAACUCAGUAUAAUAAAGUGCUUCUAUGAAAAACUCAAAGUGAACAUCAUACUUAAUGGUGAAAGACUGAAUGCUUUGCCCUAAGAUCAAAAAUAAAACAAGGAUGUCUACUCUCUUCAUUUCUAUUCAACAUUGUACUAGAGGUUCUAGCCAGGACAAUUAAGCAAGAAAAAGAAAUUAGAAGCAUGAAGAUUAAAAGGAAAGAAACAAAAACAUCUCUAUUUGCAGAUGAUAUAAUCUUGUAUAUAGAAAAUCCUAAGAAGAGCUUCCAGAUAGCUGAACACAUGGAGAUUCCUGGAGGGUGGCGUGCCCAGGGAAAUCAUGGAAGCCCCUUCCCCCAUACCUCGACCUACACAUUUCUUCAUCUGUAUCCUUUGUAGUAUAAUAAACCAGCAAGUGGGCAGGUGCAAUCUUAGUUCCUGCUGGAUGAAAGGAAUGAUAAGCCAAAAACAAGUUGGGCUGCAUGUCAGAAGGCAUCUUUCCCCACUUUGCCUGCAGGAGCAUCACAUUAGAAAAACACACUUCACUCAUGAAGGGGAAGCCUCAGGACCAUGUGACCACCCUGAAGUCACCUUGACAUGUUAGGGAUGAAUUUAGAAGAGGACAAUGAUGGGGUUCAGGACAUGCAACCCCAAAAUAUGGCACCUUGGCAUUUGAAAACAUGGCAGAACCAGGAAGGUCACUCUCAUCAUUCCCUCUUCUCCCCAAAACAAGUUUCUCAUUUUGAGAGGGACCCUCCCUAUACCUAAAGGGAAGGAAUAUCCUUAGCUCUGAAGACACAAGGGACACAAAGAAGAAUCUACACAAACACGCCUUGCUAAGUUCCCCCAGUUUAUUACCAUUAGAUCAUACUCUUUUGUCCUCCAAUCAUAUUUCUCCACAACUGUCUACUCUCCAUCAAACAGCAUAAAAAUACCCAGGUUUCCCUGUGUUUUUGUCUUCACCUCCAUAGGAAGGCUCCCAUGUCAUGUAAAACUUAUAUUAAAUAAACGUGUGUGCUUUUCUCUUGCUAAUCUGUCCUUUGCUAUAUAUGUCUCUGUCAUUAACCUAGCAACAUGUGAGAAAAGAAAUCUUUCCUCUGUCCCCAACAACACUAUCAAUAAAGGCGAAACACUCCAAAAAAGAAAAAGAAAAUAAUAAGAAAUCCACUAAAAAACUACCAAAACUAAGUAACAAGGUAAGUAAUGUUGCGGGAUACACGAUCAAUAUACAAAAAUCAGGCAAAGAUCAUUAUUGGCCACUAAGACCAGAGAAGAGACACCCAGACAUUAAGGGCCUCCUGAUGGAAGAACAUAAUGCCAUCUAUGAAAUUUUCUUGCAAAAAAAAAAAAAUACCAUGAAGCAGCUCAAGCCUCUGGAUCUAACAGUUUGCAGGAAAUAAAGAGAAUGAAGAAAUGUGUUAAACAACACCAUGAGGAUACAACUGGAAAAAUCAAGAAUGUAGGAAUCUACAGACCAAACAACCCAGUUUCUUCAGCAAAUAAAUUGCAAGAAAAGAAAAAUGAAAAAGGAGAAAGUGGGACCUAUAGAUUAAAGAAUUUUAGGGGCCAGGUGGCUCCCUCCUGUAAUCCCAGCACUUUGGGAGGCCAAGAUGGGAGGAUUACUGGAGCCCAGGAGUUUGAGACUAGCCUGGGCAACAUAGCAAGACACC
rnacentral:lncRNA from 10 species